UUGUAAGUGUGUAAGAGCGUACGGUGGAUGCCUUGGCACCAGGAGCCGAUGAAGGACGUAGGAGGCUGCGAUAAGCCUCGGGGAGCUGUCAACCGAGCUGUGAUCCGAGGGUGUCCGAAUGGGGAAACCCAGCACGAGUGAUGUCGUGUUACCCGCAUCUGAAUAUAUAGGGUGUGUGGAGGGAACGUAGGGAAGUGAAACAUCUCAGUACCUACAGGAAGAGAAAACAACAUGUGAUUCCGUGAGUAGUGGCGAGCGAAAGCGGAUGAGGCUAAACCAUGGAUGUGUGAUAGCCGGCGGGCGUGCAUUCGUGGGGUUGUGGGAUCCAUUGUGUCAAUUCUGCCGGGUUGGCCAACAGUGAGAAAUCGUUGUGUUAGGCGAAGUGGUCUGGAACGGCCUGUCGUAGAGGGUGAGAAUCCCGUAGCCGAAAAUGUGACGACUGUUGAUAUGGACACCCAAGUAGCAGCGGGCCCGUGAAAUCUGCUGUGAAUCUGUCGGGACCACCCGAUAAGCCUGAAUACUCCCUGGUGACCGAUAGCGGACUAGUACCGUGAGGGAAAGGUGAAAAGUACCCCGGGAGGGGAGUGAAAUAGUACCUGAAACCGUGCGCUUACAAUCCGUCAAAGCUGAUGCAGUCUUUAGUGGCUGGUUGGUGAUGGCGUGCCUUUUGAAGAAUGAGCCUGCGAGUUAGUGCUCGGUGGCGAGGUUAACCCGUGUGGGGUAGCCGUAGCGAAAGCGAGUCCGAAUAGGGCGUUAGAGUCGCCGGGUCUAGACCCGAAGCGGAGUGAUCUACCCAUGGCCAGGUUGAAGCGACGGUAAGACGUCGUGGAGGACCGAACCCACUUCAGUUGAAAAUGGAGGGGAUGAGCUGUGGGUAGGGGUGAAAGGCCAAUCAAACUCCGUGAUAGCUGGUUCUCCCCGAAAUGCAUUUAGGUGCAGCGUCGCAUGUUUCUCGCUGGAGGUAGAGCUACUGGAUGGCCGAUGGGCCCUACAAGGUUACUGACGUCAGCCAAACUCCGAAUGCCAGUGAGUGAGAGUGCGGCAGUGAGACUGCGGGCGAUAAGGUUCGUAGUCGAGAGGGAAACAGCCCAGAUCGCCGGCUAAGGCCCCUAAGCGUGUACUAAGUGGAAAAGGAUGUGGGGUCGCGAAGACAACCAGGAGGUUGGCUUAGAAGCAGCCACCCUUGAAAGAGUGCGUAAUAGCUCACUGGUCAAGUGAUCCUGCGCCGACAAUGUAGCGGGGCUCAAGUACACCGCCGAAGCCGCGGCACUCACACGUUAGCCCGUCUUUCUCCUGCGGGAGUUGGACUAGGUGUGUGGGUGGGUAGGGGAGCGUCCUGCAUCCAUGGAAGCAUCGGAGUGAUCCAGGUGUGGAGGGUGUGGGAGUGAGAAUGCAGGCAUGAGUAGCGAAAGCGAAGUGAGAAACUUCGCCGCCGAAUGACCAAGGGUUCCUGGGCCAGGCUAAUCCGCCCAGGGUGAGUCGGGACCUAAGGCGAGGCCGACAGGCGUAGUCGAUGGACAACGGGUUGAUAUUCCCGUACCCGUGUAGUCGCGUCCGUGAUGAAUCAGCAGUACUAACCAUCCUGAAGAUCAAGGGUUACCUUCGGGUUUCGUUUGGUUGGAUGCAUGGGACCUUUGCUGGUAGUAGUCAAGCGAUGGGGUGACGCAGGAAGGUAGUGGGGCCAGUCAGUGGUUGUACUGGUGUAAGCCUGUAGGGAGAGACAUAGGCAAAUCCGUGUCUCACAUAUCCUGAGAGGUGAUGCGUAGCCGAAUGAGGCGAAUUCCAUGAUCCUAUGCUGCCGAGAAAAGCCUCUAGCGAGUGGCGACACGGCCCGUACCCCAAACCAACACAGGUGGUCAGGUAGAGAAUACUAAGGCGAUCGAGAGAACUGUGGUUAAGGAACUCGGCAAAAUGCCCCCGUAACUUCGGGAGAAGGGGGACCACGUCUGGUGAUCAACUUUUCGUUGUGAGCUGGGUGUGGUCGCAGAGACCAGAGAGAAGCGACUGUUUACUAAAAACACAGGUCCGUGCGAAGUCGUAAGACGAUGUAUACGGACUGACGCCUGCCCGGUGCUGGAAGGUUAAGAGGACCGGUUAACACUUCGGUGUGAAGCUGAGAAUUUAAGCCCCAGUAAACGGCGGUGGUAACUAUAACCAUCCUAAGGUAGCGAAAUUCCUUGUCGGGUAAGUUCCGACCUGCACGAAUGGCGUAACGACUUCUCUGCUGUCUCAACCACAGACUCGGCGAAAUUGCAUUACGAGUAAAGAUGCUCGUUACGCGCGGCAGGACGAAAAGACCCCGGGACCUUCACUAUAGCUUGGUAUUGGUGUUCGGUUCGGUUUGUGUAGGAUAGGUGGGAGACUGUGAAGCAUGCACGCCAGUGUGUGUGGAGUCGUUGUUGAAAUACCACUCUGAUCGUAUUGGAUAUCUAACCUCGGACCAUGAUCUGGUUCAGGGACAGUGCCUGGUGGGUAGUUUAACUGGGGCGGUUGCCUCCUAAAAUGUAACGGAGGCGCCCAAAGGUUCCCUCAGCCUGGUUGGCAAUCAGGUGUUGAGUGUAAGUGCACAAGGGAGCUUGACUGUGAGACGUACAUGUCGAGCAGGGACGAAAGUCGGGACUAGUGAUCCGGCACCGGCAAGUGGAAGCGGUGUCGCUCAACGGAUAAAAGGUACCCCGGGGAUAACAGGCUGAUCUUCCCCAAGAGUCCAUAUCGACGGGAUGGUUUGGCACCUCGAUGUCGGCUCGUCGCAUCCUGGGGCUGGAGUAGGUCCCAAGGGUUGGGCUGUUCGCCCAUUAAAGCGGCACGCGAGCUGGGUUUAGAACGUCGUGAGACAGUUCGGUCUCUAUCCGCCGCGCGCGUAAGAAACUUGAGGAAACCUGUCCCUAGUACGAGAGGACCGGGACGGACGAACCUCUGGUGUGCCAGUUGUCCUACCAAGGGCACCGCUGGUUAGCUACGUUCGGAAGGGAUAACCGCUGAAAGCAUCUAAGCGGGAAGCCUGUUCCAAGAUGAGGUUUCUCACCCUCUUAGCAGGGGUAAGGCCCCCCACAGACCAUGGGGUAGAUAGGCCAGAACUGGAAGCCCGGUAACGGGUGCAGGUGACUGGUACUAAUCGGCCGAGGACUUACAACC
rnacentral:rRNA from 1 species